UACGAAGGGGGCUAGCGUUGCUCGGAAUCACUGGGCGUAAAGCGCACGUAGGCGGCUUUGUAAGUUAGAGGUGAAAGCCUGGGGCUCAACUCCAGAACUGCCUUUAAGACUGCAUCGCUUGAACACGGGAGAGGUGAGUGGAAUUCCGAGUGUAGAGGUGAAAUUCGUAGAUAUUGGGAAGAACACCAGUGGCGAAGGCGACUUACUGGACACAUAUUGACGCUGAGGUGCGAAAGCGUGGGGAGCAAACAGG
rnacentral:rRNA from 1 species